rnacentral:lncRNA from 1 species
GGAGAUCCAGGAUCCAACAAGAACUCGGGAGGGGGAGAGGAGGCCCCUGGAGAACUCUGACCUCCUUUCUCAUGGCUUUCCCCUGCAGCUGGAGCGAGGUUUGCUUCGAGAGGAGCUGGUGUCACCAUGCUGAGACUGAGAAGCAGGCAACCCAGGCUUAUCCACGAGGGUACAGAUGGCCGCGUCUAGCUGUGCAUACAACAGGUAGUCCUGCAAACACCGAGGCUCAGCCGCCACUGGUCCUUUGCCCAGAUUCCAGCUCUGACACCCUGGCAAGCAUUAUGCAUUUGUUCAAACAGCCCCAUGUCUUGUCUCCCUCUGUUUUUCGCUCGUCUCCCUUCUUGCCCACCUCCCUUUUCCUAGCUCUGCACCCUCCGUCUCUUUCCCCCUCCCUCGCUCACCUCUCGUUCCCCCCUCCCCCUCUCUUCUCAUUUACAUCCUCUCGCUUCUUUCUCCUCUGCUCCCUGUUCCUCCGGCAGUCCCCAUCCUCUUCCUCUCUUCUGGUGUCCUUCUCCACCUUCCAGAACAGUGUUGCUCAGUGUGUGGUCCCCAGACCAGCAGCAGCAGCACCUGGGAACUCACUGGAAAUGCUGGAUCUCGGAUCACACCCCAGACCUGCUGCGUCAGACACUUGGGGAUGGGAGGAGCAGCAACUUGGAUUGUCAGAAACCCUCCAGGGGAUUUCAUGCACCCUGAAGUUUGAGAAUCACAAUCUUAGAGGAAAAAUGUGUUUAUUAGGAAACUCUGAGUACAUUUGCUGGAGGUAAAUCCUGUCUUCAUCUUGGGGACAAGAGGAGAAGAUAUACAUUUAUAUUUGUGGACAAGGUAAUUAUUUUUUUUAAGCCCUGACUACUUAAUGUUUAUUUCCUAAAAUCAAAGGCAAUGGCCAAUAUAACCAUCAAUAUCGGGAAACUAACAUUGGUAAAUUGUUACCAGACAGUUCUCAGGUCCCAUUCCAGUUCUAUACAGUGAUGUGUUUGCAGCCAGAGAAUCCAGUUUAGAAUCUCUGGUUACUUUGUUUCAUGUGUCUUUCAUUGUCCUUUUAGUCUGGAGCAAUUCUUCUGUCUUUCCUUGACUUUCAUGUGUAGCCAAUCUCUUUGAGCAGAGUGGGGCAAAAUAUACUUCAAAAUAAAUGGUUUCAGUGGGGAUCCCACCUACCCUGUGACUCUCAGCACUGGAUGGAAAUAGGCAGGGAGUGGGUUCUGGCAACCAUCUGGGGUGGAUAUUACUCUAAAGUUCACUUGAAUGCAUGGACAUAAAGU